UACGUAGGGACCGAGCGUUGUCCGGAAUCAUUGGGCGUAAAGAGCGUGUAGGCGGCCACUUAAGUCCUGCGUGAAAUCUUGCGGCUCAACCGCAAGCGGUCGUGGGAAACUGGGUGGCUAGAGUGCGGGAGAGGAGAGUGGAAUUCCGGGUGUAGCGGUGGAAUGCGUAGAGAUCCGGAAGAACACCGGUGGCGAAGGCGGCCUGCUGGGCCGUUGCUGACGCUGAGGCGCGACAGCGUGGGGAGCAAACAGG
rnacentral:rRNA from 1 species